UAAAAGAGGUGGCUGAAGCAGGCCGGUUAUCUCACUUCUCACAAUGGCUCUGGCACCAGGCCUCCGUGGAAAGAGAGAUCCUCCUAGCCUGCCUCCCAAAAAGCAGCAAUAUUGAAUGCCUUGCCUAAACGUUUAACGCUCUGUCUCCCGAGCACAGAGCUUUGUCUCCCGAAAACAGACAUUUAACGCCUUGCAUCCCGAAUGCAAAUCCUCAUUCCCUGAGAGUGGACAUUGAAGGUCUGUCUCCCGAGAACAGACUAGAUACUCUGCCUUUCAGAAGGCUUUGCCAUCCCGAAAGCAAAGCCUCAUCUUCUGAGCAGACAGAACGCUUUGCCAUCCCGAGAGCAAAGCCUCUUCUUCGAGAGUAGAGAACUAAAACCCUUGUCUCCCCGAGACUCGGUCACCCGAAAGCCGAGUCCAAGGCCCAUCAGGACCUUAUCUCCCGAGCGCAGACCUCGGGGUCAAGAGUCAAUCUUCGCUACCCAGCCCCCAGUGCGGACAAGAGCCCAGCCUGAAGAAAUUCAAAAAGCCCUUUUGAAGCCAGGGAAUAUCAGGUUAGACGACAGAGACGGUUACACGAGGGAAAGACACAGACAUGCGGCAGUCUCACAUGAAUAACAGAUGUACUGCAUGGCAAAGGAGGUAGCCAGGAAGACGCAGUAAGUGGCUUGGAUUUAGAGUCAGGGGGCUAUAGAAAGGAGACAGAGACAGAGACCCACAUUGGAGCACCGGACUGAA